rnacentral:rRNA from 1 species
GAUGAACGCUAGCUACAGGCUUAACACAUGCAAGUCGAGGGGCAGCAUGAUUGAAGCUUGCUUCAAUCGAUGGCGACCGGCGCACGGGUGAGUAACACGUAUCCAACCUGCCGAUAACUCGGGGAUAGCCUUUCGAAAGAAAGAUUAAUACCCGAUAGUAUAGUAUUUCCGCAUGGUUUCACUAUUAAAGAACUUCGGUUAUCGAUGGGGAUGCGUUCCAUUAGAUAGUUGGCGGGGUAACGGCCCACCAAGUCAACGAUGGAUAGGGGUUCUGAGAGGAAGGUCCCCCACAUUGGAGCUGAGACACGGUCCAAACUCCUACGGGAGGCAGCAGUGAGGAAUAUUGGUCAAUGGACGAGAGUCUGAACCAGCCAAGUAGCGUGAAGGAUGACUGCCCUAUGGGUUGUAAACUUCUUUUAUACGGGAAUAAAGUGGAGUAUGCAUACUCCUUUGUAUGUACCGUAUGAAUAAGGAUCGGCUAACUCCGUG